rnacentral:tRNA from 1 species
ACCAGGAUGGCUGAGCGGUUAAGGUGUUACAUUCAAGAUGCAAUGGGCAGUUGUCCUCAUGGGUUCAAGUCCCACUCCUGGUA